CCGCCUUUUUUUUUUCAACCUCCAGAAUUACUUGAGACUUAUGGAAAGAAUAUUUUAUAUUACUCAGAAUGUAUGAAAUGAGGGCUAAUUCAAAUGUCUGAAAACUAGUGCGGACGUUUUGGACAAACUUAGCAAAAUGCUUUGGACAUUUUUUGGUUAAGAAUGGAUAUUCCUCAGUCUUGGUUUAAUCCUUUGCCUGCCCUGCGAGUCAUAUGUGACACGCAGAACAUAUUUCUUUGGCAUCCAUGACAAACUUAUGAAAACGCUAUAAAAAUAUAUAUCUUAUGUAAAACAUGAACACAUUGGAUAAAGUAAUUCUUGAAAGACAAAAAGAAUAUCAAAAGGGAUACGACACUCGGUUCAGAGGUCAGUUUGACCAGAGCAAACCUGUGACUGAUCAACAACUAUCUUUAGAUAGAAUUGCAUCAGACCAAAUUUAUUUACGUUAUUCAACGAGACUCGUCUCUCAACCUUUACUAUCAAUAUCACCGCCGCCGCCGCUGCUAAACCAAAUCAAACGUCUUGUAUACGAUUUCAUUUGAAAAAACAAAUGUUCCUAAAUAUAACCGGUUCAUCUUACACACACACGCAUUACUAAUGUAUGGUAAUUUAGUUGAGCAAAGUUGACAGACAAGAAAUAACACUCACGCGCAGCAGCCACGGGAAUAAUGGAAGACAACACAGGGCAAACACCGACCAAUCACCUUCACACGUCAUCACUAUUUCCACUGUCACCACCUCCUCCCCAAUCAUUACUGCCACUUCCGCUAUCACCGCCACUACAAUCAUCCUCACUGCUACUAGUAAUCUCCAGUCACCACUAACUCAUCACUACCGCUACAUCCAUACCACCACAUCUUCCUCCAUUGACAUCACCGCCAUUAUUAUCCAUCGCUAAUUUUUUACACCUCCCACGUACAACUACCAACACCACUAUAACCAUCAUCACUACGACUAUUUCUGUCACAAUCUCUUCUACACGUCAAUUCAGAGUUCGACCAUAUUGCUGUCUACAAUUACGUUCUUAAUACAUAUAAAUCACGUCGGUCGUUUUCCUUUUAAUCUCGUAUUAACGAGAAUUCAUUAAAUAUAUGCUCAAGCCUUAUAACUUCUAGAUGACAACCAGACUUCAUUUAAAAUCGCACCCCAAAUAAUAAUGAUAAAGACAUUGGUUAACGUAAUCUGAGAUAUAUUUGUGUCAAACGGAUAAUCGUGUUGGGAAUCGUCUUCACUUAUAAGUCAGCUCAAAACAAAAUUGCAUUGAUCUGCUUCAAUGAUGGCGACUAGAUUUAAUCAUCGAAAUGUCCAGGUUUAAGUUCCUAAUAAUCUUCUCACAUACGUAUGUUCAAAAUACUUUGCAGCAGUUCUUCCAGCUCUUUACGUUCCGAGUUCAAGUGCAGCUUCAGGGCCAAGAGAAUUUCAAGAUAUCGACGCCCAAAUCACCACUGACCCAUCUCCACACUUCUUCGGGUUGUCUUCAGAUGUCAGCUCGUUUUGAACUUGGAAAAAGCGUGAAAGACGAUUAAUCCGAGAAGUUACUUUGCUGCAACCGUGUUGGGGGUCUCACCUUGAAGAGUGAGGGAACAAUCCACCACAGACCCAUCUCAGUACAAUUGGAGUAUAAAGGAAUACAACAAUAGUGUGACAAGAUGUGAGCGUAGAAGUGUUUUUGGACUGAUCUGAAACAUUACUCUUCCGUUAUUGGAUUUAUCUGAAGGGGGUGAGCUGGCAGAAUCGUUAGUAUGCCGGACGAAAUGCUUAGCAGUAUUUCGCCCGCCGCUACGUUCUUAGUUCAAAUUCCGCCGAGGUCGACUUUACCUUUCAUCCUUUCGGGAUCGAUAAAUUAAGUACCAUUUGAGUAACGUGUGGGGGGGGGGUCGAUGUAAUCGACUAUUCCUCUCCUUUAAAUUUCAGGCCUGGUGCCCAUAAUAGAAAGGAUUAUUAGAUUUAUCUGGUUUGAUUGAUGUACAGAUAUAAUAUAAUAUAAUGGUGUUUAUUUUAUCGAACCCGAAAAAGAUGAAAGGCAAAUUUGACUUCGGCGGAAUUUGAACUCAGAACGUAAAGACGAACGCAACGUCGUUAAGCAUUUAACUCGGCGCGGCAAUGAUCUUGUCAACUCGCUACCGUUUUAUUUAUUACCAAAUAUUAACAGAAAAAAGAAAAUUAUCAAUAAACAAAGAAAUAAUACAGAUUUGUAUCUUGUUGAGAAAGUAAAAGACUAUGUAAUUAUCGUAAUAAUGAUAAUCAUAGUUUAUUACAUCA